ACCUGAAAAAUACAAGAAAUUCGACGUUUCGAGCGAAACCGAAGGCAACUUCCCGACGCGAAGAGCCUUCGCUGGAAAUGUGGAAUUUCUCCUUGUAUUUUUCAGGUAGUUGCAUCCUUAGCAACGAAAGUUUUGUUAUUAUCGGCACUACCUACACUGGCACAGACUGUUCAGUACAAUAAAGCAUUUUCUUCCACAUACCUUGAGAAAUGAUUGGAACGAAUAAAGAAAUAUGCAACACUCUCUGCUCAAUACCAUAAAAGAUUCAAAGUUAGGGAUGGGCCCAGAAAGAUGAGAGUCUGAAAACAAAAAGGCUCAUGGGAGAAAGGAGAAGAAUGGACCAAACAGAAAGCGGAAAUUGAGAUAAGAGAUCAACACCAUAGAUACAUGUAUAUAUAGAUCAACACACAAAGACAACUGCAGA